rnacentral:misc_RNA from 1 species
UUGCGGUGUUUUUGCAUUUAAAUUACAUCACAAAUGCACUUGAGAAAAUAACUAAUUUACAUUCAUUUUAAAUCUUAUAAAUAUCCUUAGUGGAAAGACACUAGAUUAAUUAAUAUAUUGUAGUACGGCAUUGUAUACGUGCAAUGUACAACUAAUUGGUACGAGGGCAGACAUUAUUACAGAUAAACUGUACGGCUAGCUGAAUGAUGUUGGAAUGUGUACUGCUUGAACAGAAUGAACGAAAAUAAGUCAAGUGGUAAAUACGAAUUAUUUCCUAUCUAGAGACCGAGCAUAAGGUAUUAAGCGGCCAUGCAAGUACACCUAUUAUAGAUAGACAAUCUGAUAUUUGCGAGAUUUCGAAAAUAAGGAUUAUUACGUCUAAUCUAUGAAAUAUGCAGGAUGUAACUUCUUGAUAUUUCCUAAAACGUGCAUGAGUAAGAUAAUAAAUAUUGUAACUUUCAAAUGAAAGCAAACGUGAUAUUCCCCAUUUAGCAUUUGAAAAAAAAGUUAUCGUGGUGCAUUGGUUUACUGCUGUAUGUCAGAAAAUCAGAAUCACGGGUACUCAGUGUUUUUAGUUCUGAGGGAAUAAUGACAUGGCCCGGCAGGAGGGAAAAUCACACAGAAAAGACAACAAUAGUGGAAAUUUGUGUAGUAAUAUAUAUCGUAUAUUUCAAAGACAUGUUACACAUGUUCUAGAAGAAAAUGAAUUAUACCACAUCGGAUGAGUUGAAGGCAGAUCGAUUCCCGAUAAAGGCAGUGCAUUAUUUCAUAUUAUUAUUAUUAUUAUCAUAAUUAUUAUUAUCAUUAUUAUUACUAUUGUUAUUAUUAUUAUUAUAAUGAAUUUUCAAGAUAAGCUCUUAAAACUAUUUGUUAUAAAUGGAGACUUUCUGUAAAUAUUAUUUAUGAUAAUUGCAAAUUUAAGUUGACUUCUAGGUGUAUUUUGUAUGUAAUUAUAUGAUCUAGUUUUGUGAACCAGUGUCGACUGAUCUGCUGCUGCAUACCUGGUGUUGCAAGCAUGUUAUAAAUCAUUCAUACACGAGAACAUUACCUUAAAAUCUGUCUUGCAGAUUAUCAGAUAUUAAUGUUUGGGGGAAGCCUAGCAUCAAACUUGGUGUCAAAAAUAUGGAUGAUACAAACGGACCCCUAAAAACGGAGACUGUAGGCGGUGCAUAUAUAAAUGUCUAUACCUUAUUUUCCUAAUGAUUUCAUUGUUACUGAAACGAACUGUAAUAUUUAAUAUCUGUAAUACGCUUGACAUAUAUAACUUUGUUAACAUAGAUAUUUGUUUGACUAAACAUAAAUAAACAUGAUAAGAUAUCUUCCAAGCCAGGUAUUUAAAAAAUUCAUAUAAUUAGGUUCAUAUUAUAUAGGUUCCAUUCACUUCCAUUACAUGAUCUUAAAAAUUAUUUAUUAUUCAAUUGUACAACGUACGUGAGCUCUUCAUUAAUAAAUAAGUUUUAUAAAGAAAGAUGGCUGCGGAUGAACUUGCAGUCAAAACAGCAGGACUCAGGAAUCGAACCACGUUGCAGAAAACGAUAGAAACUGGAGUCCUCGUAUUAUCUUGGGUAGUGAUGGGUUUGUAUUGUGAAACAUCUGGACCAACUCUCAUUGAUCUAAAAUACAGACUGAACACAAGUUAUGAAGAUCUUGCUGCAGCUUUCUCUGCGGCUGGUAUCGGGACGUUUCCGGGUUGUAUACUUGGUGGUUUUCUUGCUGAAAAAUUCAGCGGAUACAGUUUGUAUUGUGAAACAUCUGGACCAACUCUCAUUGAUCUGAUGCACUUAGGCUAAUUUGACGCUAGCUCUGACUUUGGAUAUUGCAGCAGUCGCCGUGAUGUUUAUACCCUGGGUUCCAAACGUGCAGUAUAUUUGGAUAUUAAGUUUUGCUACUGGUUUUGUUCAUUCUAUACAUAAUGCAGCCGGAACCCGGAUCAUCUUGAACAUUUGGAAAGAUAAUUCGGCUUCACCAAUGAUACUGAUGCACUUAGGCUAUGGCAUUGGGUCUUUUCUAAUACCUCUGUACUCGAAUCCAUUUCUUGGAGUUGAGGUUCAAAACAGUAUCAUCUACGGUAAUAUCAGUACAACAAUAAUGACGACAAAUGUUUCAUAAUCAUCGGAAGAAAAGCUUUCUCUUGAUAAUUCAAGAAUUGAAUAUGCAUACGCUAUCUCAGCUAUUGCUACUGCAGGUCUUUCUGUUGUGUUUUUUGUCUUUCAAUUGAUCGAAAACAAAAUUAUCAGACAAUUUAAGGACAUCGAAACUAGAAGAAGAUCUGGAGUUGAUAGCGAGCAUGUCAGUGAAAUACAUGACGCAACAGAAAAGAAACAAUCGAAGUCGGAGCAAGGUGAAAAUGAGGAACACUUAUAAUAAAUUCAAAGGUUUGCUGCAGAUGAUAAACCCGGCAUCUUGUGCGAAAGGGAGAUUUUGGUACGGGUCAAGCAUACUAUUUUUUAUGUUUUUCUAUUUUGGGAAUGCUGGAGGUGGACAAAGAUUCAUUUCAGAGUUUAUUCGAAGUUUUUCCAUAGAUCAGCUUAACUUUUCAAACACUAACGGUUCGCUUUUAAACACAAGCUAUUGGAUAAGUUUUUCCGUUGGUCGCUUAAUUUUUUUCAUAAUAGCUAAAUGUAUAUCCGUAAAAGUUCUAAUUAUCUUGGAAACAGGCCGUUUUAUGUGUUCGGCGAUUCUAAUGGCUAUUUUUGCGAAUGGAAAUUCUACUGCACUGUGGGUUCUUAUUCAACCAGUUGCCUUCUUUAUCGGACCACUAUGGCCAACCGGUGUUGCUUGGACAGAUUAUCACAUAGAACUGACUGGUAUGGGAAUGACAUCGCAAAUGCUCGGGGCCUCUGUUGGCGUUAUAUGUCAUUUACGUUUAAUUGGGUACUUAUAUGAUAAUAUAGGACCGCAGACAUACGUUUAUCAUGCGGCAGGUAGCGCCAUCUUUGGGUUUGUUCUAGCUGUAGCUUUAGCUUUAAUUGGUGCUAAACAUGGAAACAGGUUUGAUUCUGGAUCUGAUGAUUUGCCAAUUGAGCACAAGCGAGAAAAGCAAUAAAGACACUUGUAAAACAGUAACGACUCGUUUCGAUACUUAAGCUUUCCUCAUAGCAUAGAUGUGUGAAGCUUCAUACUACGUUUGCAUUUUCCUUUUUUCACGUACUAGAAUGGGAACAACACAACUAGGCUUGUUGGACACAUGACACAAGAAGAAAAUCGCUGAAAGUACCAGAAGAAAAAAUAAUAUUUCAAAAAGAAAUAAGGAAAAUAAUGAUGUAAAAUGGACAAAUUUGUGCGAUGGUUUUCUUUUGAAUAAUGUUCACGAACAGUGCACCCCGCCGUUUAAAACUGUCAGGAGUCUUUAAAAUAUUAUAACCAGAUUCUUUACAUUUUAUAUGCGAUUAUGAAGUGCAUUGAACAUUAAAUCGCGAGUCAAA